rnacentral:snoRNA from 1 species
ACUGCGGUUACAUGUAGAUCCCUUUUGUAGGGUUCUUUGAUGAAAUAUUCUUGUUACGCUUGGCUUCUGAGCUUU